rnacentral:rRNA from 1 species
AUACGUAGGGGGCAAGCGCUAUCCGGAUUUACUGGGUGUAAAGGGAGCGUAGACGGCGAAGCAAGUCUGACGUGAAAGGACGGGGCCCAACCCCGGAACUGCUUUGGAAACUGUUUGGCUGGAGUGCGGGCGGGGUAAGCGGAAUUCCUAGUGUAGCGGUGAAAUGCGUAGAUAUUAGGAGGAACACCGGUGGCGAAGGCGGCUUACUGGACCGUAACUGACGUUGAGGCUCGAAGGCGUGGGGAGCAAACAGGAUUAGAUACCCUGGUAGUCCACGCGGUAAACGAUGAUCACUAUGUGUCCGUGGGUAUGACCCAUGGGUGCCGCAGCCAACGCAAUAAGUGAUCCACCUGGGGAGUACGUUCGCAAGAAUGAAACUCAAAUGAAUUGACGGGG